rnacentral:rRNA from 1 species
UACGUAGGUGGCAAGCGUUGUCCGGAUUUACUGGGCGUAAAGAGCGCGCAGGCGGUCGUGCAAGUCGCGUGUGAAAGCCCCCGGCUCAACUGGGGAGGGUCACGCGAUACUGCUCGACUCGAAGGCAGGAGAGGGAUGUGGAAUUCCCGGUGUAGUGGUGAAAUGCGUAGAUAUCGGGAGGAACACCAGUGGCGAAGGCGACUUCCUGGCCUGUUCUUGACGCUGAGGCGCGAAAGCUAGGGUAGCAAACGGG